rnacentral:rRNA from 1 species
UACGUAGGGUGCAAGCGUUGUCCGGAAUUAUUGGGCGUAAAGAGCUCGUAGGCGGUCUGUCGCGUCUGCUGUGAAAACUCGGGGCUUAACCCCGGGCCUGCAGUCGAUACGGGCAGGCUGGAGUUCGGUAGGGGAGACUGGAAUUCCUGGUGUAGCGGUGAAAUGCGCAGAUAUCGAGAGGAACACCUGCGGCGAAGGCGGGUUGCUGGGCUGAUACUGACGCUGAGGCGCGAAAGCCAGGGGAGCGAACGGG